GUUGCUCCAUCUAAAGGGGAUUCCACGCUCGAACAACACUGUUGAUAGCAUAUCAGAGAAUUUUUGGUUUUGGAUUGCUGAAGAUAUUGUGGAAGGUUGUGGCAGGCCGUUGAGGGUUUGUUGAAGGAUUGAAGGAGAGAGUUUCAAUGAUUUGUGCCAAGUAAAAAUGAAUCAAUCCUUGUGAUGGGUUGAAGUUGGCUACGUUUUCCUUUGCGUAUUGGAAUUGCACUUGCUGCGUUUUGACACUUGAUCUCGCCAUUUUGUUCUGCAGUUUUUUGGUUGUUUGCUGCGUACUUUCUGUUACAACGGGUAUGGAUGACCUUCGAUGACUCGUUUUUGAUUCUCACUUCCGUGGCUCUUAACAUCUCCUUUCAAAUUCUGUGGAACAGUGAGGUGGAAUGCGGGUGGCUCAUGGAUUCGUGAUUGGGAUGGUACUAUUGGAAACUUGGAAUCCGUGUGUUAAAUGUUGAAUUCAAAUUGUGUAUCGAAUAGGAAUGUAUAUGAAUGCUUGAACUUGAUUGUAAUUUAAAAAUGGUUGAAUGAGACCUUAGAAUCAAAGGCUUAUGUAUAAAACUGUUUAUAUCUUGAAUGAAAGAAAAUUAUUUGGUA